AUGACUCAGUCAACCACGGCCCUGCCCACCUCCCAUCUCAGCCCCUCCCUCCUCAUGCACGCUGGCUUCAUAAAAAGAAGCAACACAAUACAACCCACACACACACACACACACACACACACACGCGCACACGCACACGCACACGCACACGCACACACACACCCUGAGUGUGUGUGUGUGGAGGUGGAUGUGGAGGUGGAGGGAGACUGCAUCUCCACAUACUCUCACCGUCAAGGGAGUGUUCAACUUUCUCAGUCAGGACUCCAGACCCCACUAGAGCGCGUUGGCAUUGCGGUGCAAGUGAGCAGCAUGUCCGUGUACGUGGUCCGGUGGGGCGCGCUCUUGUUGUGCUGGAGCUUCUGUGUGAUUGCAGUGUCUGUGGCGGGACAGGAGCCGAACUGCGACGACUAUGACGACAACAACGAGAUCCCCCAGGACCGGGAGGAGGGGCCGUCUCCUGCUACCCCAUGCCUGGCUGCCGAUCUCCCCCGCUGGGACAAGCUUUUCAUCGCCCUGGAGGACUCCCACAUGCGGCAGAACAUGCUGCUGGACACCCUGAAGCAAUGCUGUGGGGGGGCAACCUCUCUUAGCCCCAAGCUGGAGCAGCUGGCCAAGGGGGCCUGCCAGCCUUGUCGUUCACCCGACCUGGAGUCAGCGUGCCCGGGGCAGUUAGGUCAAUCCAGCCUCAGGCUUCUGCGAGGCCUCCUGGGGGAGAUGCGGGAGGAGGAAGCGGCGUUGAGGGAAAGGAGGAUGAAUGCAACGUUACAGCAGCUCUUACAGGCCAGCCGGGAGCUGAGUACACACUUACAGAGGCUGGAGAUGAACCUCGCACAGAGCGAAGAGGCAGAUGCAGCGGCUAGACCAUCAUGAGCCGGGGCAUUGAUCAAGCAGAGGCCAGGUGGGCGGGGCUGAAGACUGCAAACAGCAGGACGUGGAGUUACCGGCACAUCGGCCAUCGAAGUGGAUAAAGUGGAGAAGGCCAUGGUCACCAGUGGGGAUACAGACACUACGUUCAGCUAAGCAAGCUCAUGGGAUAGUUUCAGGACAACCAGGGAGGAACAACAUGGAGAGUUAAUCAAAGAGAGGGUGGGAUUUAGGACCCUUGACAACACCUUGGAAAAAAAGUGCAUUUCAUAACAACUGAAGGUUUUAUUAAAAAUAUAUAUAUAUUUGCAGGAGGGCUUGGCUGUUGGGUGUGAUUUUAAGACUUAGUCUGGUGGAAAAUAACAUUGCACAUGUUUUUUAAAGAAUACAAACUCCUUAAACCAACUAAUAAGUCCGCCUGAAAGGGCUCCACCCUCCACCCACAAGGGUGUGUGUGUGUGUGUGUGUGUGUGUGUGUGUGUGUGUGUGUGUGUGUGUGUGUGUGUGUGUGUGUGUGUGUGUGUGUGUGUGUGUGUGUGUGUGUGUGUGUGUGUGUGUACAUAAAAUAACAUACAGUAGAUGUCAUCCUGAUAAAAUUGUAAUGAGAUACAAAGCAGAACAAGAGUCCAUCAGUCCUUUGGUAAAGUGUGCGUGCAAUAGCAGCUAAACCUACAGCUAACAGAACAAAUAAUCUCAGAUAUCUGUUUGAUUUGGCCCUCCUACGGAAAGUGUACCUCCUCUCUGAUGGCAAGAGUCGUAUCUCUUCCCCAAAGGGGUGUGGAGGGUCUGCCAGAAUGGCCUUUGCCCAACUUGAUAAACAUGGCCAAGAUUAGUAAAGUUGGUGCCAAUAGUCUUUUGGCAAAGUCUGACAAUCUUUCCCAGUAUAUUUUUGUUACUCUUGCUGUGGCAGCCAAACCAAC
rnacentral:lncRNA from 1 species